AGGAUGAACGCUGGCGGCGUGCUUAACACAUGCAAGUCGAACGAUGAAGCGGAGCUUGCUCUGUGGAUUAGUGGCGAACGGGUGAGUAACACGUGAGUAACCUGCCCUUGACUCUGGGAUAAGCACUGGAAACGGUGUCUAAUACCGGAUACGAGCUUCAGCCGCAUGGCUAGGAGUUGGAAAGAAUUUCGGUCAAGGAUGGACUCGCGGCCUAUCAGGUAGUUGGUGAGGUAAUGGCCCACCAAGCCUACGACGGGUAGCCGGCCUGAGAGGGUGACCGGCCACACUGGGACUGAGACACGGCCCAGACUCCUACGGGAGGCAGCAGUGGGGAAUAUUGCACAAUGGGCGCAAGCCUGAUGCAGCAACGCCGCGUGAGGGACGACGGCCUUCGGGUUGUAAACCUCGUUUUAGUAGGGAAGAAGCGAAAGUGACGGUACCUGCAGAAAAGCACCGGCUAACUACGCGCCAGCAGCCGCGGU
rnacentral:rRNA from 1 species